GGACAGGGGACCACCCAGAUGUACCUCAAAUGUUUCGGCUAGAAUUCAAAUAAUCACAUUUGAAGAUGCUAGACUGCUUCACAUCAGAGCUGUGCAGAGACCCAGCUCUCUGAUCUCCCUAGGCCCCCGUGGUUUUAGCGGUGUCACUAGUCAGCCUGGCAGCCGGAUGCGCAUGCGCGGUGUCCGGCUCUGUGGAGUGCCGCGGAUCUCGGGCCCUGUCUCAGGUUCUACCUCUCAGAUCAGUCUUCUUAAUCCUUCACGUUGAACUAAGAAGGGCAUCACAUCUGGUCCGGAUCCCAGUAUUACUUCUUACCAGUAAGUGCUGGUGCCUGGUAUGAAUUAGAUACUCUGUAUUUUAAAAGUCCUCAAGAUAAUCAGAUUUAUGAUAGAUGAAUUUUAAUGGGAUGAAGACUUGAAAAGUUAGAAUCAUUUGGGAUCAUCACCUAUUUCAGAGCCCCAAUGGCUAUGUGAGAAUGGAGGUUAUACGUAAGUUUGACACCUGGAAGUCUCCAUCAGGCCACUGGUAAUGGUUCACUUUCUCUUUCUUACCCUCUGCCAUGUGUCUUGGCAAAUGUGGUAAGUAUGUCCCAGUUUAUAGUUGUUCUAUAAGAUUUCAUCCAGAUGAGAGCUGGACCAAGUGACCUCCUUAAGGUUUGCAGCUUUAGGGAAGGUUGUGAAUUUGGCACUCUUUUAGAUCUCUGCAAAAGAAUAUCAUCAUUGCACAAGUGGCCUAGAA
rnacentral:lncRNA from 1 species